UGGGGAAUUGUUCGCAAUGGGCGCAAGCCUGACGACGCAACGCCGCGUGGAGGAUGAAGAUCUUCGGGUCGUAAACUCCUGUCGAGCGGGACGAACACUUUCCGGGUGAACAAUCCGGAAGGCUGACGGUACCGCUAAAGGAAGCCCCGGCUAACUCCGUGCCAGCAGCCGCGGUAAUACGGGGGGGCAAGCGUUGUUCGGAAUUACUGGGCGUAAAGGGCUCGUAGGCGGCCAACUAAGUCGGACGUGAAAUCCCCAGGCUCAACCUGGGAACUGCGUCCGAUACUGGAUGGCUUGAAUCCGGGAGAGGGAUGCAGAAUUCCAGGUGUAGCGGUGAAAUGCGUAGAUAUCUGGAGGAAUACCGGUGGCGAAGGCGGCAUCCUGGACCGGCAUUGACGCUGAGGAGCGAAAGCCAGGGGAGCAAACGGGAUUAGAUACCCCGGUAGUCCUGGCCCUAAACGGAUGAAUGCUUGGUGUAACGGGUAUCGAUCCCUGUUGUGCCGAAGCUAACGCAUUAAG
rnacentral:rRNA from 1 species